rnacentral:rRNA from 1 species
GACGAACGCUGGCGGCGUGCCUAAUACAUGCAAGUAGAACGCUGAAGGAGGAGCUUGCUCUUCUGGAUGAGUUGCGAACGGGUGAGUAACGCGUAGGUAACCUGCCUGGUAGCGGGGGAUAACUAUUGGAAACGAUAGCUAAUACCGCAUAACAGUAGAUGUUGCAUGACAUUUACUUAAAAGGUGCAAUUGCAUCACUACCAGAUGGACCUGCGUUGUAUUAGCUAGUUGGUGGGGUAACGGCUCACCAAGGCGACGGUACAUAGCCGACCUGAGAGGGUGAUCGGCCACACUGGGACUGAGACACGGCCCAGACUCCUACGGGAGGCAGCAGUAGGGAAUCUUCGGCAAUGGACGGAAGUCUGACCGAGCAACGCCGCGUGAGUGAAGAAGGUUUUCGGAUCGUAAAGCUCUGUUGUAAGAGAAGAACGAGUGUGAGAGUGGAAAGUUCACACUGUGACGGUAUCUUACCAGAAAGGGACGGCUAACUACGUG